rnacentral:lncRNA from 1 species
ACUUUAUUUGGAUACUUUUGCUCCACGAUUUUAUGUCAUUUACAAAACGGGUGCGGUUUUCAGAAGGUUUUUUUUUUAUGUUUCACUCUGGUGCCAAAUUUUAAACCUAACGUGGCCUUUAUAUAAGAGCAAGUAAAACAAGUUUACAAAGUAAAAAAGACAACAAAAGGUCUUAGACUGCAACAUUCAAACAAAUGGCCAGUCGUGUUCUGAACUGUUUAUGGAUUUGAGAUUUCAUUAGUCAUGUUAAAUGCUGUCUUCAUN